CCUACGGGAGGCAGCAGUGAGGAAUAUUGGUCAAUGGCCGUAAGGCUGAACCAGCCAAGUCGCGUGAAGGAAGAAGGAUCUAUGGUUUGUCAACUUCUUUUAUAGGGGAAUAAAGGUAUCCACGUGUGGAUAUUUGCAUGUACCCUAUGAAUAAGCAUCGGCUAACUCCGUGCCAGCAGCCGCGGUAAUACGGAGGAUGCGAGCGUUAUCCGGAUUUAUUGGGUUUAAAGGGUGCGUAGGUUGUUUUUUAAGUCAGCGGUGAAAGUUGGUGGCUCAACCAUAAAAUUGCCGUUGAAACUGGAAGACUUGAGUGUGUUUGAGGUAGGCGGAAUGCGUGGUGUAGCGGUGAAAUGCAUAGAUAUCACGCAGAACUCCGAUUGCGAAGGCAGCUUACUAAGCCAUAACUGACACUGAAGCACGAAAGCGUGGGGAGCAAACAGGAUUAGAUACCCCAGUAGUC
rnacentral:rRNA from 1 species